GCGCCGCCAUGCCGGGUCCGCCGGGCGCUAGGGAGUUGGGGCGGCGAGCGGGGCGGCCCGAAUGGGGCCCGAGGCGGAGAUUGCAACAGCUACGAAGAGCAUAAUAAUACUGUUCGAUAGACCAAAUUCGCAGCUACAAAACACUUUUUCAACAUAGUCACCGCAGUUUUGCAAGCAAUGAACAAGAUUCUGCAUGCUGUGCUCGUAAACAACUGCACCAGCAGAGAUGGCCCUGUGUCACUGCUGUCACUGCCUCACUGCGCUCACACCCAGCCUUUGGUCUCCAUAAUCGUUCAGCAAGCAUCACCCAGGUUUUAAAAGUGAACAUGCUGUAAACAUGACAUUAAGAGAUGGUACAUAAAAAAAGGAAUAUGGAAACAGAGAAUAAAGCUUUUUGCUCUUA